ensembl:lncRNA
AAAUAAAGCAGCUGUAAGAAGCAAAGAGUUAAAAGUAAAAAGAUUCAAACCACUCUGCAGUGUUGGUGUUUCAUUCCGUCGCCAGCACCUCCCGCUGCCCUGCAUCAGGAUCAGGGAAGCAAAAAGCUGGAAACCAUUAUUUCCUUUGUUCUCAAAUUCGAAUCAACACAUGCCAAAAGUACAGAAGAGCAGCCCCUUCAUGGCUCCAAGCUGCCGACCAGGCCCCAGGAGCAAGUCGCUACGUCCCAGGUCCCCCAGGGCCUCCCUGUGGCUGGUCUGGCCCUGAACUGGCUGGUGUCAGACUACCUGUGUGAUCGCUGAUAUGGAAGGGGUGGUGGACCCACACAGGAUGGCCCCCCUCCAGUGUCUGGUGGUCACGUAUCGGUACUGCUAUGGGUCACCUUUGACUGGAGCCUCUGUGUGUGAGCACUGUGGAGCACCCGUGUAGGGCCUGACUCCCAGACAAUGUGAAUUGAAGAAGUGGAAAUUUGGCCGAAUUGACGGAGACUGUGGCAGGAGACCCCAAACCAACUCUGAAUGAAGUCGUUUCAAGGGAAAGCAGCCAGCAUCUGCGUAGGAGUAGCCGUGAAGGCGACAGGGACAAGCUUGUCAGACUGGCAGGAUCUAAAGAACCGUUUUGAAAAGAGCAUUGGUAAACGCUGCCCAGAGUUGUCAGAAUGAAACGUCUGGAGGGCUCCACAUGGCGUGAGAAAGUGGCUCUGCCAGGACAGCCCCAAAGGCACCAUGGGAGGAGCUCUGGCCAGGAUGGGUGGAGGGAGGCACUUGACUGGGGGGAGGUCGUGCGAUCCUUGGCCUGAUUUCAUCCCAGGAGAGAACAAGAGUCCUACACUGCUGAUUUGGGGGUGGUGUUGCAGUGAAAAGGAGGAAAAAGAGAGGAAUGGGUUUUUAUUUUUCCCUUUCCUGAGAAUAAAGACGAUAAAAAGAAUAGUGAGCAGGCCUGAACAUUCCUAGUUUUUUUUUACUUUAACUCUGCAUGUCUGUAACUAAGUUUGGUUUUCUGCCACCUAACUCUGCAGGAGCUAGAGUUCACAUUUUUCCCUUUGACUCCAUGCUAAAUACAUCC